AGCGAACGCUGGCGGCAGGCCUAACACAUGCAAGUCGAACGAACCUUUCGGGGUUAGUGGCGGACGGGUGAGUAACACGUGGGAACGUGCCUUUAGGUUCGGAAUAACUCAGGGAAACUUGUGCUAAUACCGAAUGUGCCCUUCGGGGGAAAGAUUAAUCGCCUUUGGAGCGGCCCGCGUCUGAUUAGCUAGUUGGUUGAGGUAAUGGCUCACCAAGGCGACGAUCAGUAGCUGGUCUGAGAGGAUGAUCAGCCACAUUGGGACUGAGACACGGCCCAAACUCCUACGGGAGGCAGCAGUGGGGAAUCUUGCGCAAUGGGCGAAAGCCUGACGCAGCCAUGCCGCGUGAAUGAUGAAGGUCUUAGGAUUGCAAAAUUCUUUCACCGGGGACGAUAAUGACGGUACCCGGAGAAGAAGCCCCGGCUAACUUCGUG
rnacentral:rRNA from 1 species